ensembl:lncRNA
GGAAAAGUUAGGUCAGCUCACAGGGAAGACAGAACAGCGGCAAGAAAAAUGCAGCGUGGCCCGGCCCUAUGGUCAAAGGCGAGAAAGGACGGAGGUUUGCUGGAAACCGGUCCUCCUUCUUCGCGGGCAGAAAGUUCCCGCCGGGCCGCGGGCAGAUAAAGGAAUCCAAGGCUGACUGCCAAAGACCGGAGGUCUUAGUUGUAGCACACAGAAUCUUUAAUUCCCUGACCAAGGAUCGAACUUGGGUCCCCUGCACUGGGAACUCGGAUUCUUAGCCACUGGACCACAGCCCCCCACCAGGAUGCAAGCUUUUUAGAGUGGUCCUGUCUGUCAUUUUGGUUGAGUGCUGUAUUCCUGACACCUGGAGUGGAACCUGGCAUAUGGUGAGUGCUUAGUGUAUCUUUGGGCUUCCCAGGUAAAGAACCCACCUGCCAAUGCAGGAGACAUAAGAGACUUGGGUUCAAUCACUGGGUUGGAAAGAUCCCCUGGAGACAGGCAUGGCAACCCACUCCAGCAUUCUCGCCUGGAGAAUCCCAUGGACAGAAAAGUUUGGCGGGUUACAGUCCAUGCGGUCGUAAAGAGUCAGAAUGACCGAAACGAUUUAAGACACAUGCAAUGCAUCUUUGCUGAAUGAAUGAAUUCACAACACUUUGAUUUUUAUUUAUUCAUUUUUAAAUUGAAGCAUAGUUGAUUUACAACAUUGUGUUAAUUUCAGGUGUACAGCAAAGUGUUUCAGU